rnacentral:rRNA from 1 species
AUUGAACGCUGGCGGCAUGCUUUACACAUGCAAGUCGAACGGCAGCGCGGGCUUCGGCCUGGCGGCGAGUGGCGAACGGGUGAGUAAUGCAUCGGAACGUGCCCAGUAGUGGGGGAUAGCCCGGCGAAAGCCGGAUUAAUACCGCAUACGACCUGAGGGUGAAAGCGGGGGACCGAAAGGCCUCGCGCUAUUGGAGCGGCCGAUGUCGGAUUAGCUAGUUGGUGGGGUAAAGGCUUACCAAGGCGACGAUCCGUAGCUGGUCUGAGAGGACGACCAGCCACACUGGGACUGAGACACGGCCCAGACUCCUACGGGAGGCAGCAGUGGGGAAUUUUGGACAAUGGGGGCAACCUUGAUCCAGCCAUGCCGCGUGCGGGAAGAAGGCCUUCGGGUUGUAAACCGCUUUUGUUCGGGAAGAAAUCCUCUGGGCUAAUACCCCGGGGGGAUGACGGUACCGGAAGAAUAAGCACCGGCUAACUACGUG